rnacentral:tRNA from 1 species
GAUGGUGUAGUACGGAGUUACUUCGUAUGCUAAACGAGAGGUCGCGGGUUCGAGUCCCGUCCCCCACCCCA